UGCCCUUAUGACCUGGGCUACACACGUGCUACAAUGGACAGAACAAAGGGCUGCAAGACCGCAAGGUUUAGCCAAUCCCAUAAAUCUGUUCUCAGUUCGGAUCGCAGUCUGCAACUCGACUGCGUGAAGCUGGAAUCGCUAGUAAUCGCGGAUCAGCAUGCCGCGGUGAAUACGUUCCCGGGCCUUGUACACACCGCCCGUCACACCACGAGAGUUUGCAACACCCGAAGUCGGUGAGGUAACCUUUAUGGAGCCAGCCGCCGAAGGUGGGGCAGAUGAUUGGGGUGAAGUCGUAACAAGGUAGCCGUAUCGGAAGGUGCGGUUGGAUCACCUCCU
rnacentral:rRNA from 1 species